AUUGAACGCUGGCGGAAUGCUUUACACAUGCAAGUCGAACGGCAGCACGGGAGCUUGCUCCUGGUGGCGAGUGGCGAACGGGUGAGUAAUGCGUCGGAACGUGCCGAGUAAUGGGGGAUAACGCAGCGAAAGUCGUGCUAAUACCGCAUACGCCCUGAGGGGGAAAGUGGGGGAUCGCAAGACCUCACGUUAUUCGAGCGGCCGACGUCUGAUUAGCUAGUUGGUGGGGUAAAGGCCUACCAAGGCGACGAUCAGUAGCGGGUCUGAGAGGAUGAUCCGCCACACUGGGACUGAGACACGGCCCAGACUCCUACGGGAGGCAGCAGUGGGGAAUUUUGGACAAUGGGGGCGAACCCUGAUCCAGCCAUUCCGCGUGAGUGAAGAAGGCCU
rnacentral:rRNA from 1 species